rnacentral:rRNA from 1 species
AUCCGGUCCGGAGACAGUGUCAGGCGGGCAGUUUGACUGGGGCGGUCGCCUCCCAAAAGGUAACGGAGGCGCCCAAAGGUUCCCUCAGAAUGGUUGGAAAUCAUUCGCAGAGUGUAAAGGCAGAAGGGAGCUUGACUGCGAGACCUACAAGUCGAGCAGGGACGAAAGUCGGGCUUAGUGAUCCGGUGGUUCCGCAUGGAAGGGCCAUCGCUCAACGGAUAAAAGCUACCCCGGGGAUAACAGGCUUAUCUCCCCCAAGAGUUCACAUCGACGGGGAGGUUUGGCACCUCGAUGUCGGCUCAUCGCAUCCUGGGGCUGUAGUCGGUCCCAAGGGUUGGGCUGUUCGCCCAUUAAAGCGGUACGCGAGCUGGGUUCAGAACGUCGUGAGACAGUUCGGUCCCUAUCCGUCGUGGGCGCAGGAGGUUUGAGAGGAGCUGUCCUUAGUACGAGAGGACCGGGAUGGACACACCGCUGGUGUACCAGUUGUUCCGCCAGGAGCAUAGCUGGGUAGCUACGUGUGGCAGGGAUAAGUGCUGAAAGCAUCUAAGCAUGAAGCCCCCCUCAAGAUGAGACUUCCCAUCACUAAAAGUGAGUAAGAUCCCUCAGAGAUGAUGAGGUUGAUAGGUCCGAGGUGGAAGCGUGGUGACACGUGUAGCUGACGGAUACUAAUCGAUCGAGGACUUAACUAA